AUAUAGAGAACUAGGUAAAACCGGUUCGAAAUUACAACACUAAGGUAUUUUGACCACUAUUUUCAGCUGACCUUUUAAGUCUAAAAAAGAGAACCAAGCAACAGAUUUCAAUGAGUUUUAUAGUUUGUAUAUAUAUUUUUGAUUUAUGAUCACAGAGCACGUCAUGUAUGAACCUGUGAAGCAUUAACGAAAAUAAAUUGUUGGCUAUCUCCGACAUUUCAAAAAUUAUAAAUCUUAAAAUGCAAAGAUUGUUCAUGGACGAAAUUAAUUUUUCACAAUCAAAAAUAAAAAUUGAAGGAUAAAAAGUAAUAUCAGAGGCCGACACUCUUUCAUUGAAUUUCGAAAUUAUUAUGGUUCUGAGCUGUUCAGCCUACCGGACCUGCCAAUGCUCCACCCUGAAUUGUCGAGUAAUUUCAGUGAUGUGGGGCUUAAAAUAUGGUCAACAAAUAUCAAAAUUGAAAUAUCUUUCAGAUUAUGUGUGUUUUGUUGGCUUUUAAACAUUUGAAACUGUAUUUAGUUGAUGUUGAAGACACAACCGCCAUUGGUGUCCUUGGUCACCCUGUCCCACUAAAUGUAAUAUUUUUUGAAAACAAGACCGAGUCGGCAUCUAAAUGAAUCACUAAAAUAAUAAAAAAUACUCACAUUAUAACAUAUCAAAAUAUCAAAGAUCAUCUAAAUCGGGAAAUUUGGCAAUUGGCUUCCGAAUAUGAAACUUAGUUUUUUUAGAAACUGAACAGUCCUGAACAAAAACAACAAUAUUUGGUAAAACUGUCGGAGGUUGGCGUGCAAAAGGACUUUUUUGAAAUCAAAAUUCAAUUUUCUUUCCAGAUAUGCAUGUUUUAUUGCAGUUUUGAUGUUGUAAGCUACAUUUUUCUGGUCUGGAAUGUAUUAGCGUCCUUCCUGCUAAAGGUCUCACUGUAACAUUCAAUAGAAUAUUACUAAAAAACAAGACCGAGUCGGCAUCUAUUGAAGUCACCAUAUUUAAGCAAAUUAAAUUCUCUAUCUGAUUAGAUAAUUUUUAAAACCAAUAUAAAUCGGGAACUCGCAGAAUUCGGUGUUGAACCCUGCGGGCCAUGAUUUACAGCCACAAGUUGCGUACUGUAAAUGCUGCUAAUAUACGUUUGUCGCUAGCAGACGCACGACGUUGCAUUCGAUUGGCUAAGCGACGUUUUAUUUGCUGACAGAGAACACUUUUUAGUUUCAACAUGUUUUCUGACGUUUUUGUUGAUAUUAGUUUAUGUUGAUGGGAAACGGAAGUUAAUGCAUAGGUAAUUUUAAAACCUGUUUUUUCAUCGUGGGAGAUUAUCAGUGACCGGUUGGGUGAUUUUGUGUUUUAGCUUCAUAUCUGUGAUAUUCAAAUAGCUGGGAAUUACUCAAGUUGGCCUCUAGAGCAGUGAGGUCUGAGACAAAAAGAACCAUGAAAAAAUGUAUCAAGCAAGGCUAUGUAAAUUGUAAACCAUAUUAAGUAUAUUCUUCAUUAAUGAUUAUAAAUGUUAUUUAUAUACAUUGUGAUAAAUGUUUUGUCUCACAGGGAAGACGUCUUGGUAUCGGUUAAGCGAACAUAGCAUGAGCUGCCAUUUGGGCGGGAAUGCGAAUUACCUACAACCUGAUCUAAAGGACCAUGAAAAAAUGUAUCAAGCAAGGCUAUGUAAAUUGUAAACCAUAUUAAGUAUAUUCUUCAUUAAUGAUUGUAAAUCUUUUGUCUCACAGGGAAGACUUCUUGGUAUCGGUUGGGCGAACAUAGCACGAGCUGCCAUUUGGGCGGGAAUGCGUAUUAACCUACAAUCUUGAACCUGUUAUUGGCUACGCGCCCUAAUCCACGAAGAAGAAGAAAGAAGAAGCUUGUGCUACGUCUGCCUUAUCGUUACCAACGUCUUAAGUGAAACACUUUCAGCAGUGCAGAUGAGAAAAAUUAAUUGAGCAAAUAUAAUGUCGUAGGUACAUAUCACAUAUAAACCAGGUUACCAUCAACAUGUCGGGUGUAACAGGCGGAUUGCGCUGAAAUUUCAGCACAGUGUCCAGAGUAAUGGUGAAACUUCAGUUUUUUACAUUAAAGAUUAUAAAGAAACACAAUUUUGAUGAAGAGUAACCAAUGAACUUGAACAGUGAACACUAGAGUAACUAAUUCAACUAUUUGUUGUUAUGCAGACUGCCCGCCAGCGGACGGAGGCCAACCGACGGACGCCGGCUCAAAGGCCAACAGUGGCCCGCCCGCCGGCCGACACCGGCCCGCCGGCCGACACCGGCCCGCCGGCCGACGGUGGCUCGUCGACCGACACCGGCCCGUCGGCCGACUACGGCCCUCCGGCUGAUGGUGGCUCGCCAGCCGACGGAGGUCCGCCGGCCAUUCGUGGCACGCCCGCCGACGGCAGCUCGACGACACGUCCUGGCUAUGCCACCCCCAAGAUUACUUCGCCCCCCCCCCCCCCCCCAAGUCCCUAGGUCACCAGUUGCGGGCGCUUCAUCUGACGGUGUCGUCCGACGGCUCCACGGUGACCAGCGCCGCCACUGCGGAAACCAUCGGACCCCAAAAAUGCUGCUAGCCGUACACGAACAAAAGGCGCCAGGCACCCAGGACCAGCGCCCUGCUCCGAGGCGGUAUCUAAAGAAGGCCGCAUAGCACUUGCUGUGCUAAGGCAUAGUGCGCGCUGACUGAUGGAACAAAUGACGGUCAGUUAUCAGAUCUCAGUAUGGAACUCAAGAUGGUCGGAGCCGACCUGGCCCGGUGGAUGGUGUGCCAGGGUUGAUUAAGUGUCGAAAGGAGUGAGACGCCCAGAUAUGUGAAGGAUACGUCGAUACGAGCCCCGGCUUCGACUCCCCGUCCCAAAACGAUGUUGGCUGUGAUUGGAGUUUGGUAUCUUUACGGAUUUCCCCCCCCCCCCCCCUGAAUUUGUGCUAUGUAAUAGGACGAUAAUAUGUCGUGGUCUCAUUCUGGCUCGAUAUGGUAAUAGGUACUUAAUUGGACAGAUGUUGAUGGUAUUGGCGGUGGAUGUAAAUGACAGGUUUGGCGAGCGCGAACUAGUAAUCGUGAGUGCACUAACUGCAAUCAGUCGCGCGCUUAUUGCUGAGCACCUGUGAGCAAGAAAAUGGUAUGAAAGUGGUAGUUCGUCGUGAAAUCUGUGUACUUUUGGAUUAAGUUUUCAGAACGGAAGUGUAUUUUUGCCAUGUCCACUGCAGCUCUGGAACAGAAACAUAGAGAUCGGCUGUGUGCUGUAGCAGGGGCAAGUAGUCCGUGCCAAAAAAUCAAAGGUGAUAUGUGAAUUUAAGUGAAUAUACCUCGCUUUAUUUUCAA